rnacentral:rRNA from 1 species
UACGAAGGGUGCAAGCGUUACUCGGAAUUACUGGGCGUAAAGCGUGCGUAGGUGGUGAGUUAAGUCUGAUGUGAAAUCCCCGGGCUCAACCUGGGAAUGGCAUUGGAUACUGGCUCGCUAGAGUGCGGUAGAGGGUGGUGGAAUUCCCGGUGUAGCAGUGAAAUGCGUAGAGAUCGGGAGGAACAUCUGUGGCGAAGGCGGCCACCUGGACCAACACUGACACUGAGGCACGAAAGCGUGGGGAGCAAACAGGG